UACGGAGGGGGCUAGCGUUGCUCGGAAUCACUGGGCGUAAAGCGCACGUAGGCGGAUUGUUAAGUCAGGGGUGAAAUCCUGGAGCUCAACUCCAGAACUGCCUUUGAUACUGACGGUCUUGAGUUCGGGAGAGGUGAGUGGAACUGCGAGUGUAGAGGUGAAAUUCGUAGAUAUUCGCAAGAACACCAGUGGCGAAGGCGGCUCACUGGCCCGAUACUGACGCUGAGGUGCGAAAGCGUGGGGAGCAAACAGG
rnacentral:rRNA from 1 species